AGACCGGGGUGAUGUCGGGAAAGGACAUUUUCCUAUCGUUAAAGGACGUGGUUGAUGGCUGGAAAGGACAUUUUCCCUUCGUUAAAGGUUCUCACUGAAGGGGAUAAUUCUCACUGAAACUACAGAAUAAAGCCGCCAGUUAAAAUCAUGGAACGGUUGUGCUCGUGGUUACUGAAGGGAGCUACAAGACCAUUAUUCGUUUCGAAUUCACCAACUCAAAGACGCUUGCCCGCUCCAUCAUAACUCCGUAAGUUUUCCCUCCCUGUGUAGAUCAAACGUCCUGCCUGUAAAUCCUGGGUAUGCCCACAUCAUUAAUGAAUAAGAUGUGUAGAAAACUGUUUAGCCAUAGUUAAAGGCCUUUCAUAAAGAGGCUGUCAUGAUUGCCUGUGCCUCAUGUUUAACACGUAUUGCUUGUUACAGAAUACUACUGUUGUACAUUUAAUAUCCCCUAGCAGAUUUCGUUGCCUUUGCACAAAUUCUGUCAUGUUACUGUGGUCUUUUUAAAAGUCAAUAAAAAUGUGUGUAAAGUGUC